GACGAACGCUGGCGGCGUGCUUAACACAUGCAAGUCGAACGGAAAGGCCCUGCUUUUGUGGGGUGCUCGAGUGGCGAACGGGUGAGUAACACGUGAGUAACCUGCCCUUGACUUUGGGAUAACUUCAGGAAACUGGGGCUAAUACCGGAUAGGAGCUCCUGCUGCAUGGUGGGGGUUGGAAAGUUUCGGCGGUUGGGGAUGGACUCGCGGCUUAUCAGCUUGUUGGUGGGGUAGUGGCUUACCAAGGCUUUGAAGGGUCGCCGGCCUGAGAGGGUGAACGGCCACAUUGGGACUGAGAGACGGCGCAGACUCGUACGGGAGGCAGCAGUGGGGAGUAUUGCACAAUGGGCGGAAGCCUGAUGCAGCAACGCCGCGUGCGGGAUGACGGCCUUCGGGUUGUAAACCGCUUUCGCCUGUGACGAAGCGUGAGUGACGGUAAUGGGUAAAGAAGCACCGGCUAACUACGUG
rnacentral:rRNA from 1 species